rnacentral:rRNA from 1 species
GACGAACGCUGGCGGCGUGCUUAACACAUGCAAGUCGAACGGAAAGGCCCUGCUUUUGUGGUGUGCUCGAGUGGCGAACGGGUGAGUAACACGUGAGUAACCUGCCCUUGACUUUGGUAUAACUUCAGGAAACUGGGGCUAAUACCGUAUAGGAUCUCCUGCUGCAUGGUGGGGGUUGGAACGUUUCGGCGGUUGGGGAUGGACUCGCGGCUUAUCAGCUUGUUGGUGGGGUAGUGGCUUACCAAGGCUUUGACGGGUAGCCGGCCUGAGAGGGUGACCGGGCACAAUGGGACUGAGAUACGGAGCAGACGCGUACGGGAGGCAGCAGUGGGAAAUAUUACACAAUGAGAGGAAGCCUGAGGCAGAAACGCCGGGUGCGGAAUGACGGCCUGCGGGGUAUAAACCGCUUUAGCCUGUGACGAAGCGUGAGUGACGGUAAUGGGUAAAGAAGCACCGGCUAACUACGUG